rnacentral:rRNA from 1 species
UGGGGAAUAUUGGACAAUGGGCGAAAGCCUGAUCCAGCCAUGCCGCGUGUGUGAAGAAGGUCUUCGGAUUGUAAAGCACUUUAAGUUGGGAGGAAGGGUUGUAGAUUAAUACUCUGCAAUUUUGACGUUACCGACAGAAUAAGCACCGGCUAACUCUGUGCCAGCAGCCGCGGUAAUACAGAGGGUGCAAGCGUUAAUCGGAAUUACUGGGCGUAAAGCGCGCGUAGGUGGUUAGUUAAGUUGGAUGUGAAAUCCCCGGGCUCAACCUGGGAACUGCAUUCAAAACCGACUGACUAGAGUAUGGUAGAGGGUGGUGGAAUUUCCUGUGUAGCGGUGAAAUGCGUAGAUAUAGGAAGGAACACCAGUGGCGAAGGCGACCACCUGGACUGAUACUGACACUGAGGUGCGAAAGCGUGGGGAGCAAACA